rnacentral:sRNA from 1 species
GGGUGAUGUUCAGCGGACACUCAUCCAGGUGGACUUCGGCGAUGGUAUCGCGGUGUCUUACGUCAAUCUCAGCUCCACGGAAGAUGGGAUCAAACACGUCUAUCAGAACGUGGGCAUUUUCCGUGUGACCGUGCAGGUGGACAACAGUCUGGGUUCUGACAGCGCCGUCCUGUACUUACAUGUAACUUGUCCCUUGGAGCAUGUGCACCUGUCUCUUCCCUUUGUCACCACAAAGAACAAAGAGGUCAAUGCGACAGCAGUGCUGUGGCCCAGCCAAGUGGGCACCCUCACUUAUGUGUGGUGGUACGGAAACAACACGGAGGUGGGUUCACCUUCCACAUGCGGUCUAGGGACAGAAGCUCAAUUCACACUGCCUGAAACAAAGAAGGGAAUGAAAUGGCUUAUGAACCUAAGAGUGUAGAAGCAGUUGUAGCUUCAAGGACAACAAGCUCCCUUGGCGCUCAAGUAUCUCAUCAUUAUGUUCUCUCUUUCUCUCUCUGGCCCCUCUCCACCUUCUGUGUUUCAUCUCUGCCUUCCUCUAUGUUUACGUUUUUCUCCAGCUGUACUUGUCUUUGUAGUGACUCUUAGCAGCCCUAGCUUAGCACAGAAAUUAAACUCUAUUUCCUGAAA